ACAGCACAGUAUGCAAUACCAAACUCUUAAAUUUGAAUACAUUCUAAUGUCACGACAACAGCAGAUUCCACACAUUUUACGAGGUCUUUUUGGGUUGUAACGGGGCUUGGGUACGGUGGGAUAAACAAAAAAUGGAUAACAAAGGGUUUUGAACUCGGCAGUCAUGUUGUGUGAUUUUUCUUUCUCUUUUUCUCGUGCAUCACGUAUACUCUGGGGGUUAAUUUCACUCUUUUGACUCUUUUUCUACUCAAAUUUUUCGAGCAUUUUAUAGGUGUUAGAGUCUUAAGUCUCGGCAAGUGCAUUUUUUCUCUUUUUUUUUUCUUUUUUUUUUCUUUUUUUUUCUUUUCUUUUUUUUUUCUUUUUGGACAUACACAAUUCUUUUCUUUUUGUAUGAUCUCUUAUUAUGCACUUGCCUUA
rnacentral:lncRNA from 1 species